CUUAGCCAAACAUGCCUUAAAUCUGAUUCUUCACACAAGACGCCACCUCUCGAACUCUCUUCCUUAGAUCUGAAUCUCAGUCCAGCGAUCUUAAUCGUCACUUCACUACUUCGUCACUUCCUUGUAAGCCCUAAAUCUCGUUGAUCUGAACCACUACUUCGUCGAUUCAUCGACGGCCAGUGGAGAGAAGUCAUCAUCAUCGAUGGUAUCGAUGGUAGUUAAGAAGAAUCACAUAGCCGACAACCGAACUCGUCAUCGCCGAUUCGCCGUGAAAAGUGGAAGCAUGUUGUUGACUGAGUUCGCUGAUUUGCAUCAACCAUUUCAACACAGGUUGUCAUAAUCUAUAACUGCAUGGUUAAUUGUUGUUAUAAAUAUUUUGUUUGUGUCAAUCUAAGUUUCAUUGCGUGGUUAUUUGAGUCAAACAAGGUGUGUUGUUGAUUUUAUAUAAGUUGCAACCAACUGUUUUGCUUAUUAUUAUCAUUCAGAUGCUAUGGCUUUUUUCCAUUGUUUCUUUGGUAGAAGUUCCAACUUUCAAGUAUGUGUAAAAAUUAGAGAUCGGCGUUUUUUUAUCAAAAUAAUAACAGUAAUAAGUUAUAGAUUACAUCAGCUUACCUUUUUGGUAUUCGACUAUUCGCUUAUUAGAUCGUUCUUACAUGUAGCUACUUCGUUAAAGUCUUUAAAAGUCUUGAUUCCAACUUACGUACUUUGUUUGAUUUUUAUAAAAAGUAUAUGCCUCAAAAGGAGAAAGACUUUAAGGUAUCAUUGUCAUCAAUGGAGAAAGAGAGUUCUAAUUCUAGCCAAGUAAUGGACAUUGAAGAACUAAUGACCAAGCGGUUUGAAAUGCAUUGGGAAGUUCACAAACAUCUUUGCCAAAAAGUGAGUUAGAUAAGUAUCUUGAUGAGGAUCGAGAGCCUAUGGACCCACGGUUUGACAUAUUAAAAUGGUGGAAAGUUCAACAAUGCCGAUAUCCCAUUCUUGCUAAAAUGGCUCGAGAUAUUCUCGCCAUUCCGGUGUCUACGGUUGCCUCCGAGUCGGUUUUAGCAUCGGUGGAUGGGUGCUUGAUUCGUUCCGAACUUCGUUAACCCCAAGAAUGGUUGAAGCGUUGGUAUGUGCACAAGAUUGGUUGUGUGCCUCUAAUAAUAAGAUUUUUAUCCAAUACACCAUUCUUGACAUCGAGAGCUUGGAAGAAGGUAUGAAGGAGUUAGCCUUGGAACAACCCCACCAUUAUCAUUGAUGAAACGGUUCAUGAAAGCUAUGAAACAUCCGAAACGGCAUAAGGAAUCAAAUUUGAUGCAGUUUAUAACCCUAUCAUAAUCUACCAGUACUAUUGUCCCACUAAACAAGACUGCCUAAGCUCUGUUUUUGGUUAACUUGGAAGUUGGGAGAUAGAUUGAAUUUUGGGCUAUCUUAUUUGGAAGAUUAUGUCUUUAGUUUUGAACAAUGAAUUAUGUUAUUAUUAUGUCUUUAAUUUGGAACUAGGGAUUUUCUUUAUUUGCCUUUUUUUGAACAUCUUAUUAUUUGGUUUGUAUGUUGGACCGGUGUAAAACCCGUGUGGAUCUUUCAAUGAUAUCAAACAACAACUUGUGUAAGUGCGGAAAUCAAA